rnacentral:rRNA from 1 species
UGGGGAAUAUUGCACAAUGGAGGGAACUCUGAUGCAGCGACGCCGCGUGAACGAAGAAGGCUUUCGAGUCGUAAAGUUCUUUUAUAUGGGAAGAUAAUGACGGUACCAUAAGAAUAAGGUCCGGCUAAAUACGUGCCAGCAGCCGCGGUAAUACGUAUGGACCGAGCGUUGUCCGGAAUCAUUGGGCGUAAAGGGUACGUAGGCGGCCCAGUAAGUUAGAAGUGAAAUAAUAUAGCUCAACUAUAUAAAGCUUUUAAAACUGCUAGGCUUGAGAGAUGGAAGGGAAAGUGGAAUUCCUAGUGUAGCGGUGAAAUGCGCAGAUAUUAGGAAGAAUACCGGUGGCGAAGGCGACUUUCUGGUCAUCAUCUGACGCUGAGGUACGAAAGCGUGGGUAGCAAACAGG